CUACGGGAGGCAGCAGUGAGGAAUAUUGGACAAUGGGCGGGAGCCUGAUCCAGCCAUGCCGCGUGCAGGAAGACCGCCCUAUGGGUCGUAAACUGCUUUUGUACGGGAAGAACAAGGGGCACUUGUGCCCCCCUGACGGUACCGUAAGAAUAAGGAUCGGCUAACUCCGUGCCAGCAGCCGCGGUAAUACGGAGGAUCCGAGCGUUAUCCGGAAUCAUUGGGUUUAAAGGGUCCGUAGGCGGGCCGUUAAGUCAGGGGUGAAAGUCCGCGGCUCAACCGUGGGACCGCCCUUGAUACUGGCUGCCUGGAGUCAUGGUGAAGUGGCCGGAAUAUGUGGUGUAGCGGUGAAAUGCAUAGAUAUCNCAUGGAAUACCGAUUGCGAAGGCAGGCCACUAGCCAUG
rnacentral:rRNA from 1 species